rnacentral:rRNA from 1 species
CAAUAGCGUAUACUAAUGUUGUUGCAGUUAAAAAGCUCGUAGUUGAACUUCUGGUAGGAGUGUCCCGGCCUUUUUGUUUUUACAAAUUGUAUGCUGUGUGACAUCUCUGGCCAUCCUUCUUCUUUGUUUAAAGAAGAUCUUUCACUGUAAAAAAAUUAGGGUGUUCAAAGCAAAAGUUUCUUUGGAAUAUAUUAGUAUGGGAUGAUAAGAUAGGCCCUAGAUGCUAUUUUGUUGGUUUGCACAUUUAGAGAAUGAUUAACAGGGACAGUUGGGGGUAUUCGUAUUUACAUGUCAGAGGUGAAAUUCUUGGAUUUUGGAAAGACGAACUACUGCGAAAGCAUUUGCCAAGGAUGUUUUCAUUGA